UACAGAGGUCCCAAGCGUUGUUCGGAUUCACUGGGCGUAAAGGGUGCGUAGGUGGUCGGGUAAGUCUGAUGUGAAAUCUCCGAGCUUAACUCGGAAAUGGCAUUGGAUACUAUCCGGCUUGAGGGUCGGAGGGGGGACUGGAAUUCUUGGUGUAGCAGUGAAAUGGGUAGAUAUCAAGAGGAACACCAGUGGCGAAGGCGAGUCCCUGGACGACUCCUGACACUGAGGCACGAAAGCUAGGGGAGCAAACAGG
rnacentral:rRNA from 1 species